UUUCUUUUCCUUUUCAUUUUGUUUCUUUUUAUUUAGAUGUUUAUUAAAAGUGAAAAAAAAUUUAAUGAUAUUCUUCUUUAUUCGUAACUUGUACGUGGAAAAUCUUAUAUUCAAUUAUCAUUACAUGCGAAUUUGAAUUAUAUUACAUCUCGCCAUUAUUAUUAUUAUCAAAACAUGUUCUGUCUCAUCUCACAUAUCAAACGUACUUUUGAUGAUAGAUAAUAUCAUUUAUUCCCACAAAAAAAAAAAAAAGGGGAAAAGAAUUAAGAUGUAAAAAGUGGGAUAAACCCAUUUUCUUUCCUCCUCCCGUAUCCUCCCUCCUUCUGUUUUGCGCUGCAACAGGAGCCCCAUUAUACAGCAAGCCGACGACUGCCGAGUGCCGACGCAACAGCUCUGUCAUCCACGGGUCACCAAAGGCUCUCAAACUACACAUCCAGAAUGCUCUUGCCGUCCUUUAUCCAAUCCCCAAGUUAGUUUCUAUAAAUUCGUAGGCGAUUUUCCUCAACUUCAAAUUUAAGAAACGGUGACCCAGGGUUUUCCGGCCAACUUCCGGCCAAUAUCGCCGGAAUUUGACCUCGACCCAAGAGGUAGAAAUGAUCCUCUUCUCGUGGGCUGUUCUCCAAUGUGGACACAAAAGUGAUUGCAAAUUAGAAACAUUAAUCUAAAGCAUACCUUGUCCAUUCCUGUCGAAAUGCGGGUUUUACUUGCAAUCGGGGAUUAUGCGUGUCAACAAGCUUAGAAUCAAAUGGCCUUAAGUCUUGCACAUUAAUAACCUUCAAUAACUCCAAAGACGGCAACUUCAAAGUGUAAGCUUCGCCACAAAAAUACUUGAGUUUUGGCAGGCUUUUAAGCUUGAUGGACUUCACUUUAGGUAAUGUAAUUAUUUCCCCUGCUUCUUCUUCUUCUGCGGCAACGAUUUCUUCCAUCUGCUCACACUU